AUUGAACGCUGGCGGCAGGCUCAACACAUGCAAGUCGAGCGGAGAUGAGGUGCUUGCACCUUAUCUUAGCGGCGGACGGGUGAGUAAUGCUUAGGAAUCUGCCUAUUAGUGGGGGACAACAUUCCGAAAGGAAUGCUAAUACCGCAUACGUCCGACGGGAGAAAGCAGGGGAUCUUCGGACCUUGCGCUAAUAGAUGAGCCUAAGUCGGAUUAGCUGGUUGGUGGGGUAAAGGCCUACCAAGGCGACGAUCUGUAGCGGGUCUGAGAGGAUGGUCCGCCACACUGGGACUGAGACACGGCCCAGACUCCUACGGGAGGCAGCAGUGGGGAAUAUUGGACAAUGGGGGGAACCCUGAUCCAGCCAUGCCGCGUGUGUGAAGAAGGCCUUAUGGUUGUAAAGCACUUUAAGCGAGGAGGAGGCUACUGAGACUAAUACUCUUGGAUAGUGGACGUUACUCGCAGAAUAAGCACCGGCUAACUCCGUGCCAGCCGCCGCCGUAAUAC
rnacentral:rRNA from 1 species